UCCCUGGUGGUCCAGUGGUUAAGACUCUGCACGUCCAUUGCAGGGCCAUAGGUUCAAUCCCUAGUCAGGGAA